UACAGAGGGUGCGAGCGUUGUCCGGAAUCACUGGGCGUAAAGGGCGCGUAGGCGGCUUGAUAAGGUUGCGGUGAAAGCCCGGGGCUCAACCCCGGGUCGGCCGUGGCAACUGUCGAGCUGGAGCACUGUAGAGGCAGGUGGAAUUCCGGGUGUAGCGGUGGAAUGCGUAGAGAGUCCGGAAGAACACCGGUGGCGAAGGCGGCCUGCUG
rnacentral:rRNA from 1 species